rnacentral:misc_RNA from 1 species
GUAGGUGAACCUGCGGAAGGAUCAUUAACAUUGUUUCUCUUUUAAUCCUCGAAUUGCACACUUGAGAUGAAGACGGUUCUUUUUUACUGUUUUUGUCUUAUUUGUGGUCUCGGGAAGGGAAAGUGCAUUUUGGACGCUUGGUGCUUCUGUCAUGGAAGUGCUGAGUGGACGGGGUGUAUCUUUCCACAAACGUGUAACCGCCCUCUUUGCGAGUGCAAUGCCGUUUCAACCUUUUCUUAUUUUAGAAGGG